GGGUGACGCGACCCAAGGCUAUAAAAGCAAAAGUUGUGGUCCCUAUCAGCAGGAGUUAGUGACAAGGAGGGCUGCCGUAUGGGUUUAGCAGAGGGGAGGAAGUGGCUAGUUCAGGGCUCAGAUGAGAUGGCAGAGCUAGAGGCAGACGCUAGCAUGAGGGUGGGAGGAGGGAAAUGUACUAGACUAGAUCCCUACCUCUUUGGGUUUCUCGUGGUAGAUCCACAGACUAGAUUUGGGGACAGUGGUCGUGUGGACGGCAGCUUCCAAAGCGCCUUCAACAGUCCACACCAGACUGGCCCUGCGGUCUGCUGGAGUGGGGGAACCUGACUCUCACAGGGGCCUACAUGGACCCAGUGUUGUAGAGCAAGUGAUGUAGACUCGGGCCCUUGAGGCCCUGGAUCUCCUGGAAGAUUGGCAGUGGGGUCAGCUUUGAACUUGACAAUGGCAGCAGACCCUUUUUUUCCAGAUAGGGGUUGUGAACCCGCCUGGGAAUGAGGCCUGUCCAAUGGACCCUGGACUUAGCUGAGAGCUCUGCCCCGGGUGGUAUGUAAUUUGGGCGUGGCCUCACAGCACCCAUUUCUGGGUGCGAGGGGUGGCCUGAGGAGUUGUCUUUAAGAUCUGCUAGGUGGGGCCCACGGAGAUGAAGGCGGCUUGGGGCCACGUUGACCUCAGCUUUAUCUUUCAGGUGGCAGUUCCCCUCUGGACUUUCCCUAGGUUCCGAGGCACUCUCUUCUGUGAACUCCCUCCUCCCCUUCUCAUCCCUCUAACUCUGAGGUUAUGGGUUCCCUUAACCUUGCCUCUGGGUUAUCUGGUAAGCCUGGGGAAGGUAGAGAGGCGGAGUUGGCGUCUUGGACUCGGUGUUUUGGUACUACUGGGAAAGUGGAGGACACCCUGACUUGGGAGGGGAGGGGAGGGUGGGCUCACAGCCAUGGUUUCGGUCACCCGAAAGAACGCCUCAUGGACGAGGUUUAUUACUGUAGUGUUCAUCAUGGCAAGCAGAUGGCACCAGGAGAAAUGGAACCCCUGCAGUGCAGGAGGGCAGACCCUGGAGGAGACGGCGACCUAAGCUGAUGCCUACACAGUGAAUUCCAGAGCUUAGGAAGUCCUGCACUGCCAUGUGUCCAGGCCUUACUCAGGAAGGCCGUCAUCUUAAGUGGUUCAGAUCAGCCUAUGGGGUUGGGGAUGGGCAGACGCUUCCAGCUGGCGGGGCUGUCGGCCAUGAAUGUUCCGGAUGAAUGUCUUGUUCUGGGAGCCUCAUUCUCCGGAUGCAUGAAUGCUAGCCAGCACCCUCCUUCCUGGGGGUAGAGGCAUUCAGCUGCUGUAUCUUCUAAAUCAAGCCUCCAGUCUUUAGUUCUGUGCGACAAACUUGGCUUCGAGAAGAUUGCUUAUGGUGUAGAACACUUAACUCUGAUGCCCUCAACGCGGCAUGGUGCCUCGUAGAUGGUGUUUGCAGGAGGAGCCCAGUGACCUCGCCCACCUUUCCUGCUUCUGCAGCCUGCAGGCCUCUGCAUUGCUAAGGCAUUAAGUGUGAUUAAAAACUUUGGGGAUUGGGGAAAGCUGUUCAAUUUCAAAUGCUGAACUGGAAGAGUAUUAGCUGAUUGUUAAAAUGGUUGGGGUGUCGUGUUUAAAGAGUAUGGGAGGGUACAAGUUGGCUGCAAGUUCUGUUGGGAUAUGUAUAUGGCAUGUCUACUUGCGUUGGGAUGGCAUCUGGGAUUUUCUGUGGGUUCGGUUUUGGUACUGGGUGGUGAGCAGGUGUUACCCUACUGAGUGACCAUUGUUAUCGUUUCUUUUCAUUUCUGACUUGGGGCCUGGCAGCCUAUACCAGGCUGGCCUUGGCGCUCAACACUGCUGGGAUUAGGGGUGUCAUCUAAAACUUCCAGCUUAAACUUGAGUUUUACUGGGUCAGGCAGGCUUCAGAGGUAGGAUUGCUGGGGCAAGCAGGGCUCAGCUUGGCAUUGGUGUCUUGGCCAGAGGCUCGGUGAGGGAUUGGGGUGCUGGCAAGGGAUGUGGCUUGAUGGGAGUGACGAUUAGGGAACUAAAUGGCUCACAUAAUGAAAAUGUAGAAGUUGCUGGUAAAUCCUUACUGUGGGUGAAUGAAUUGUUGAGGUGCAGUAAUGGUUGCCUGGAAAAUACCAAUCAGGAAAAACAAAAUUGAUUUGCUCUGCUGUUGAAUGGAAGAUGGUGUCAAACUCAAGAAUGCCCAAAACACACACCAGCCUGUGGAGGUGGUGGAGAGGUGCUGAGGAAGGGUUUGUGAAUGCCUACAUUGUGGGCUCUUAAAGGCAUUGGCCUUUGUACUGGAGGUUGACAGAUUCUGCUGGGUUUAUAAUUCAAAUUCUUUCAUACUGUGUGGUUAAAUUCUAAUGCUAUUAUGCCUAAAGGAAUUUAAUUUGCAAGUCAUGUCUUAUAUAACACUACAGGAAUUUAAUUGCAACCCAUGCCUUAUGAAACAUAAUGAAUUUCCGGGAUUGGCUAGGAGACAAAAGUUGUUGCUUACUUGACUAACAAAUCAGUCAUUGUGACAGGGAACAUGACCAUGCACGUGCUGUGAAAUUACUGUGUACCUUUGCUAAGGCUGUAAUGAAAAUACGGUGUUUAGCUUGAAUGGUGCUCCCAACCAUCCCUGAGCAGAGGGGAAACUGUAACUGUCUGUCAAAUGAGUUUGGGAAAUAAAAGUCAAACUGGGGGUUGCUGGGGACAUCUUACUAGAAAAUGGUCUGUAAACAUUGAAAACCCUGGGUGUAAUGUAACUGUCUUUCCCCAAUCCUGCUCAACCUCGGGACUUUGUCUUCGGGUUGGUGAUUUGUGUAUUGUGUUUUAUUUGUUUUAAAGUCAUGGUGUGACCAGGGAAUGACACUGGGUCAGCAGAGUGUUGGUCACCUUGGAAUGGGAAAUGGGGGGAGCUGUAGGUCACAGCACCUCUUUGUUCUAAUCAUCUUUCUCCUUUACAGCAAAAUAAAGGUUUGAGAUUGAAACACCUUGGAACCCUUGUAUCACUGUUACAUUCUUGACCUCUGUCACUUUGAGAGUUCCAGGCCUAGACUUAGCUCUGUCAUGGAGCCAGUGAGAACCGGUCACCUUCCCCCUGUGAGAACUGGGGGGAGGGGCUGCUCACUGUUGGGAGCUGGUAAGGAAGUGUUCUGGACAUUAUCCAGAGCAUUUCCAGGUUGUAUUUCAAACUGGUAUUUCAUGUCUUCAUGAAACUGGUGUGGGCUUGAUUUGGGCAAUUUGUAAAUCCUAUCUGCCUAAGGAGUUGGACUUUAUUUAUCUUCAGGUACGUGACUAAAGUCACUGGGAAGGGUGUGGGCAGAAGCCCUUGGAAUCCAGGGAGUGUAUCUGGAGCCAACCUGUAUGUGAAUUGGCCUAUUGGUGUCUCAUUACAACUGGAAAAUGUUGCUGCUCAGGCAGAUUUUAAGCUUAGGACAUUACCAUGGUAGGACUGGAAUCUGGCAGUUACAGUGAACCCUUGUCUAUGUAAGGAUGAGUCUUGAACUGGAGUGGGGUGGGGACCAAACAAAGGAUGAGGAGUGGCUUCCGUCUUUCCAGCUCGGGUGACCAAUUCCUUGUACGGAGAAGCCAGAGUGGGGCGUCUCAGGAGCUUCCUGUCUGGACUUGUGGGACUACCAAGAGUAGGUGCUGCUGCAGCUGAGAACAGCUCAUCUCCACCCAUACUUUUUUUCCCCUUUUUACUUUUGUAUUUCAAAAGGUCUCACUGUAGCCCAGACUUGACUUAAAAUUUAAAGAUCCACUAGCAGCUGCCUCCCAGGUGCUGGGGUUGGAGGUGCACUGCUUCUCCUGGUCUCCCUACCCUUUCUAGGCUGGUCUGUUCUAGCCUCUUUUGGCUUCUUACCUGGUUUCUACACCUCCAUCCCCUUUUCCAGAACUCUGGUUUUUAUGUUGUUACAAAGUUCUCUGUGUUCUGUGGCAGUGGGCUGGUAAGGAGUUCACCCCCAGCUAAUUAGAAGUGGUAUAGAGACAGGAUAACCGGAGGCUGAGCAAUCCUGUGUGCAGACUUGGAGGGCUGUUGGUUUGGGGUUUGUUAUUUGAGAGCCCAGGUUGGUGUGGAACUCUGCAAUUUUCCUCCCUCAGCUUCCCAAAUGUUGGAGAUGCAGACAUGAGCCGCACUAUCCUACAAGGACUGGUCUUUGCCCUGGGGUCCUGGACUAUUGGGUGGCCACAGACAAGUCUGGGUAUAGGCUCAUUCUUUGAACUCCCAGAGGUAGCAGUUGACCUGGAAUUUAGUACUGAGGCUGAUCCUGUAUGAAUGAGAAGCAAAGGUUGUGUUGGUUUUUUUCUUUUUUAAAAGAUAAAUGGAGAGGCAGCAGCCGCUGGUUGACUACACGGCGACUUCAGAUGUAGCCUGUUACAGAGAGACCUGACACCUGCCAUUUAGUUUGUCUUAUGAUAGUAAGAGACCAAAAGAAACUUGAAUGUGGGCUAACCUGUGGUCAUUGUCGUGGGCUGCAGAAGCAUUAGUCCGUGGUGGUGUCCAUGUCUUAGCUGCUGUUACUGAAGGAAGGAAUGAAGGUUCUUCCAAACGACUAGUAUUUGUAUAUUCAUCUCAAUAUGGUUGCAGACUGGGAUUGUUAAGGAAAAGAAAACUAAUAAACCAAAACAAGAAAGAUAUUCCCAUGAGUUCCUGGGCCCUUCCUUGGACGGGAUGCCCUCGCAUCCCUCUUUCCUUCCCACACUGCUCGAGGAUGAAGAGGAUUUACUGUAAAUAUCGCAAAUGGGGGGAAAGCUCAUUUAUGUUCCAUUAACAAGCGUUACUGGCAUUUGUUUCGGAUUUUUCUUUUCCUGGGCAUCAGCUAUAUGUGUGUGUACUUUACACAAAAAGUUGGAUUGUGGUUAAAUACUGUCCUGUGAUGCAUAGUGAAAGCCUUGUCUUGAUGGCCAGAGCAUCCUUUUGGUACCAAAUGCUCCAUUGAAUGACUGUCUUAAACAACCUCAUGUAAGUGUUGAUGAAUGAGGGGAGGUCAGAGGAUGACUCUCAGGUUUGGUUGCCGCUAGGUUCACACAGCAGUCGCUUUUCCUGCCAGGCAGGCUCACCCAUCUGCCUUCAGCUAGUUAACUUUUAGGAAAUGGUUUGUGUUGGAGCCCAAGCUUUAUCCUAUCUGAGAUAUUCAGGUCAGUUCUGGAAGGAAAUGACUGUCAGUCCUAACUCCAGGCUCAUAUUGCUCCGUUGCUGUCCAGAGGGAUUUUUUGAGGUACUUUCCGUGAAGCUGGUGUGUGUGUGUGUGUGUGUGUGUAUGUGUGUGUACUCCGAGCGAUGUGACUGGCCAGUAUGCCUGGGUGCUUCAUGAACCCGACUCCUUUUGUGUGUCAUUUGCGCUCACAGCUAUCACUAGCAGGUUAUUCAAUGGAUUGAUCAAUUACUUGCAGCAGGUUAUUUCAAUGGAUUGAUUGAUUACUUGCUACUUUAACAUUUUUGUGGUGUGAUACACUGAAGAGAAGUUUUAGCCGUUUGUAAGUGUACAGUUUAGUGUGUUACACAGAUUAACUUGAUCAACUGACCUCCAGACCUUGCAAAACCUGAAACUACCCGCCAGGUGGGCUCUCUUCUCAGUCCCUUUCCGCUCUGUUUCUUUGAGUGGCAAUUCUGGAUCCCACAUGUAUGUGGAGCCACCCAGUGUUUAUCUUUUAUUACAUUUAUCUUCAUGUGUAGGCAUGUGUGUGGAGGUCAGGACAGUCAGCAGGAGCCGGUUCUCUCCUGGUUGUUUCUGCCUCCCAGUAUGCAUCUUGACUCGCUGUUUUGAUCACAGUAUCUGUGCAGUUUAUCUUGGUGUGUGAUUUUCUUUGCUUCCAUACAAGCUAGAUAAUUGAUAUUUUGUACAUUUUUUUGGCAUCUGUGUUCUGAUGAGCACACUUGGAGUUCUCCUACCCCCAGGCCUGUUGCCGUUAGGACCUCACUGCGGUGGGGAUGGUGCACGGAUACGUCUUUCUGAGACCAUUUCCUCCUCUUUAGGAUACAGUACAACCAUGGUGGAUGUCAGGUGACAUUUCAUUGUUGUCUUCCAUGUACUUAUUGAUCGUGUAGAUUUCUUCAGAAAACGCCAUUCAGGUCCUUGUCAUAUUUAAAAGGCUCGGUUAUUACCAUUGUUGACCUGCAGGAUUGUCUGUAUUAUGAAUAUUAACUCUUAUAUGAUUCGGCUGAUAUUUUUCCCCAUUCCAUAAGUUGCCUUUCAUUAUGUUCUGUUGAGGUUCUUUUGUAGUUUCGUAUAUUGUUUUUUGUGCGUGUUUGUGAAUUUGCUCAUAGGUGUGCCUGUGCCAGCACCCCUGAAGGUCGGAGGACAACUCGGGGUAGAUUCUAUCCUUCCACCCUGUGGAUCUGAGGUCUGAACUCAAUUGUCCAUCAGGCUUGGCAGCAAGUGCCUGCGCCUUUGGUGUCAUAUCUAAGAAAUCAUUGCUAAGUUCAACAUUGUAAAGUCUUUAUUCUUCCUUUAGUUGUUGUUUGAGAUAGGGUUUCUCAGUAGCUAUGGAGCCUGUCCUGGAACUCACUCUAGUCCUGGCUGGCCUUGAACUCACAGAGAUCAGCCUGUCUCUGCCUCCUGAGUGCUGGGAUUUAAGGCAUGUGCUGCUGCUACCACCACCAGCUAAUUAAAAGUGCUUUGUAUUAAUCCGCAUUUCUGUAAUUAUCGUCAGGUAGUCCGAGAGUUUAUCACUUGACCCACUGCCCGCAUUUCCCCACAGUCUCUGGUGAGAGGACCCUGCAGUGUGUGUAGUUGGGAGGGUCGGCUGGCAGUCCUGUCGUAUCUAUUGCCUUAUUUUCCUCUUGUGUUAAAACCAAGAUGUAUGUGAUGUACAAGGACUUAAACCAUGUAAGUCUGACUAUAACUGUAAGUUGCCUGGAGUCAGUGGCUUCUCAGUUUUCUUCAGCUGCUCAUGCCUGGGCUCGAUCUGUCAACACAGAUAGCCUUCUCGUGCUGUGGAUUCCUUCUGCUGCUAGGAGUGAUGGCGGGCAAUUGCUCCGGUUUCCCAGGGCCAGGCUUUCGUAGUCAUUGUCUCAGGCUCUACUGUAGAAACAGAAUGAAAUUGACCGUUUAAAAGUUGUCAGGAAGGUGCUGUGACACUCCAUAAGUGUCCUCUCUUCCCUGUUGAAACUUAGUGCACAGACUGGGUUAAUCCUAAUCUUUGGCACAGUGUGGCUCUUUCAUUUGCUUCCUCAUUUUUAAUAACUUGUCAACAUGUCUGACUCUUCUAUCAAUAUGAAAAGCAGGGCAGUGGGAAAAGUCAUUUUCUCCCUCUGUGCCUGUCACAUUGCACCCUGAGGGUCUCGCAGGCCAAUGUCAUACUAAAAAAACCUUAUCCAAAUGAAUUUUUCAAAGCAUAAAAUUUUCUGUUAUUUGUAACUUUGUAGAAGAAUUAAGUUGUCUGUAAUCUUCUGGAACUUUCUUAAUUGGAUAAAUUAAUCUCUUUCCUGCUAUUUACAGAAUUUGUGGGGUCCCCAUGAUGGUGCCUGGGUGGGUUCUCCUGAAGUUUCAUCAGAGAAGUAACUCCAACAGAACCCGGGUUGAGCACCCCCACAACCCCGAGGUAGCCAUUAUUACCGAUAUGCUGUGUCCUGCUGGUCUGUUCCUGUGUCUUUAUGGGAGACAGGCUGCAUCGUUUUCUUGUGUUUAACGUUAAGAUGGCACUGCCCACUGUCUCAUCUCGUGACACGAUUUUGCUUAGGAGUAGAGUCCUGUGAGCAUACAGCUGCCCCAUUCUUACCCUGGCUGCUAGUGACGGAAGGGUCCUCUCUGUUACAGAACUGACAGUUGUACUGUGAGAUCUCCACAGGCAACCCCUGUGCCUCAGUGUCGAGUGGGUAGCAGUCGUGGGUCAGACAAAUGCUCUAUUCUGUUGUCCUCCAGAGAUGGACAGGCCUGUGUACCCGAGUGUGAGAGUCGUUUUCAUGUCUUCCUAGGCCCUUCACACAUGGAACUUCACAUUUCUCCCAGUUUUCUUGGCUCUGUCUCAUAUGCACAGUGACCCCCCCAUGACUACCUGGUAUGUGAGAUAUUGUCAUCUAUGUGUAAACUUAAGAACUGUGACUUAGUUAUCAGGGACCUCAUGGUCCAAGACACACACACUCAAAAUGUAAUUUUGCCAAGGUACAGUUGUUUAAAUCACUCUGCCCUGAAACAGCUGAGCGCAUCCAGCCUGGAGCUUGCUGACCCCGUCACACUGGCUCUCUCUGCUCUCGUAUCAGAGGAGCUCUUCUAGGCCAACCAAUUGCAGAUUUCGGUAAUGCUGGACCGACGGUUCUGUGGGCACUGUUGUAGGGCAUGGGAUGGGCUGUGAAGUACAAUUGUGAUAACUUAUAAAUUACUAGUCAUGAACUUAGAAGUAAAAUACUUAGAAAAAAACCCAACGUGUCAUCUUGAUGUUCCUCUCCCAUGACAGUUGUCAGGACUUAUUCCUAAGACACCUCCCCUUCAUGAAUUUAUCUAAUAUUACUGCUUUUAAAUGAAAUCGUGCGACAUGCAGUAUACUUACAGCUCUAUAAUAUUUAAACUUGUCAUGUAGGGACAGUAAUUUUGACCCUUUUUCCUACUGAUGCCUUCAGGCUAUUUCUAGGCUGUUCUGGUCAUUGCAAGCAGUGAUCACUGAGUUUUUAUUCCUUGGGACACUGGUUUGGGUAUCAGGUAUGAAGGAGGCUGAGGACUCCCGGCUGGCAGCUCCAGAGUGCUUUGGCUCCUUCGCUCUGGAGUCUGGAACUCUCGGUUUUGUUCAGUGGAUAGUGUUUCUACAGCCAAAGUCAACUCCUGGUCUCCCACCAGCCACGGAGUUCUGUUAGGGCGGUUGAGUACCUCACACUGGAUGUCCCUAUCAGAAUUAGCAUCAGGUUGUGGCGGAGUGAUAAUGGAUUGUGAGUCUUAGGCGGCUUCCGGGUUCUCACCUCAAGCAGGAUGAAAACAAAAGUCAAACCAAGACAUGAUAAUGCACACCUGCCAUCCCAGCGCUGGGACAGCGGAGGCAGGAGGACCGGGGUCUAAGGCCAGCCUCUGCAGCUGGGCCUAUAGAAAACCUAACGGGAAAAAGCCAACUGUUCUAGGAAGGUGGCUGUGACACUUAGGAAAAGCUCCACUCAGUCUCACUCGUUUCUGAACUGCCGUGGCCUUCAGUACAUCCAUGCCACUUUCUAGAUUAAGGGUUCUCUGUCCUCUAAGGCCACCAGGUGCCAGGAGAGCGGGUGUGAGCUCCCUCUGGCUCUUCCUUGCCUCUCAGGGUCCUAGAGUGUUAGACACUGGAUAGUGGGGCCAGCUUCUGCCUGGCAGCCUCUUCCUCUCCUGAAGGCCAUGCUGGGCUCCUCCUUCACUCUGGUGAGCAGCCCACUGUCCCCUCCGCUGCUCGUGUGUGUGACCCCAGAGCGAGGCCUUGCCUUACUCCGCUGCUGUUGGCCACUCAGCAGAUUUCCUGCAGUUGUGCUAAGGUGACUCUUGUUCCUGUCAGAACUCCAAAUGCAUAGGUGACAUGGUGAGCUCUGUGGGUGCACAGUGUGACAGGGAGGGGUGCAGGGCUGUUGGGCUAACGGCUGUAGUCACAUUUGAACUGCUCACUCCCACUCUGGGGAACAACUGGGCUGUUUCAAUGAACAUUAAGUUCACAUUACUAAACACUAAAUGCCUAUUUAUAUGUGUCUUCAUGUGUGUAAGCAAGUAUGUCCAUGGGGGACCUGGGGCGCACAAAGAUGCUGCCAGCCUUCUGGAAGAUGGUUCCAGUUGGCUUUUCCCCACCCACGCCUUUACCAGUGCUUGUCCCUAAACUUGGUUAUUUGUCAAUGUGAGAAGUGAAGGAUCUUUUUGAUUGUAGUUUUGAUUAGUAUGUUUACUGGCUUACAACUACUCUUUAGCCAUUAAGGAAAUUAACAAUGUUUCUAAUACUUCUGCUACUCUCUGACUCGUUAAUGUUACGUUUUGCUGUUCAGCAUUUAGAAUAUGUGCAUGUACUUAUUUAUUGGUAGUUUUUCUUGCUUUCUGAUUUUUAUGAUGAGCUCGGAAAACUUGUUCUAAUUCAAGAUGAUUCUUUGGUAAACCCCAUGCUUUGUCUCAUGCCUUUUAAGAUUUUAUUUCUGUUGUUUCUAUCUGGACUUAAUUUUGUUGUAAUGAGUGGUGUGUGAACAGGAAACCUUUUGUUGCUACACGUAACUGAAUAACACAGCCAUUGAUCACUGCUUGGCAUGGUCCUGUGUCAGUUUCAAGUCUAAAUGUUACAGUCUGCUUUGAUAUAUGGUAAGGGCAGUCCUACCUUGUAACUGAACCUUUCUAGAAUUUUCCUGGCCAUUCAUGUGUGAUUAUUUCAUUUUCCUUAUGGUGUCUUGAUUUCUUCCUAUACAAGAAUAAAGUGUGUCUUUUCAUUUCCUGCCAGUUACUUAACCUAAUCUGACUUCAAUAUUUUUACACUUGUGUUUAUAUGCGUGCAGUGUAGAGGUCAGAGGGCAAUGCUAUCAGAUUGGCUCUCCUUCCUCUACUUAGCUCUGGCAUUGAACUUAGGUUGGCAGGCUUGACAACAAGCACCUUUACCUCCUGAGCCAUCUCAGUGGCCCUGACUUUGUAUGUGUGAUUGGGCCAGAUGUGGUGGCUCAUGCCUUUCAUCCCAGCAAUUGGGACGCAGAGGAAGGUGGAUUUAUGUGUUUGAGGGCAGCUUGGUCUAUAGAAUAAGUUUCAGGACAGCCGGAGCUACACAGAGAAACCCUGUCUCAAAAAACAAACAGCUAGGGCAUCAUCAGUGCUAGCCUGUGGCCUUAGAGAUCUGUGAUUCAGCACCUUGGUCUGUCCACCUAUGUGUCUGGAUGUCUUAGUCUGCCCCCUGCAGGUUCUGUCCCUUCCAAAACAGUAGCUUCCAUCAUAGAAUAUACUUUUAUUUUAAAAUUACAUUUCUUAAUGUGUGGGGGGGAGGAGUGAUAAGUGCCAUGAGGCACAUGUGCAGGUCAAGGGACAACUUGCAUUCCUUCCGUUGUGUGGAUGGUAAGAGUCAAACUCAGGUUGUCAGCCGUGGUGCAGGCCCCUCAGUGACCCACAGAGUACUUUUCUGUCUUUAUUUGUGGUGGUCACUUAUUGCUGUCACAUUGUCAGUGUCCAGUUUGGUGGCCUUUGUUAAUGACAUGAACCGAAACACACUUUUGAUAAAAAUGCCAGUGAGUUUAUGUAAGCCCAAUAAAUUGCACCCAAAAAGUAGGCUUGGUUGUGCACCCUUAAUCCCAGUGCUUGGGAGGCAGAUUCAGACAGAUCUCUGAGAUUGAGGGCAGCCUGGCCUACAGAGUAAGUUCUAGGUCAGCCAUGGCUACAUAGUCUCAAAAAACCACUAACACCCCUCCCCCCAAAUAGAAUUGUACCCACGGUCACAGGGAAAUUUCCUGUCCCAUGAGUGUGGGUCCCUCCUGGGAAAUUGUGUGGACACAGAAUGUCUGAAUGGAGUCUUUAGCACCAGGACAUGGCUGCUGUGUUCCACUCUGACCUACCUUUUCCUGCUCCCAGCUUGCUUGAACUUUGAACAAAAUGGUAUUAAAUUGUAGUUUUGACUGGUAUAUUUAGCAAUUUAUAGGUGCUCUUUAUACAUGAAGGAAACUAAACAUUUGUGUUGCAAAUACUUCUGUACCUCUCUGGCUUUUACAUUUUAUGGUAUUUUGCUGUUUGGGUGUUUUAAAUAUAUAAAAAAAUCCAUUUAUUAGAAAUUUUUUCUUGCUUUCUGCAUUUUAUGACUCAAAAGCUUGGUCUAAUUCAAGACUUUUUGGGUGAACCCCAUGCUUUGUCCCAUUACUUGGCUCUAUCUGGACUUAGGUUGGUGUGCUGAGUGGGGACAGUAAGCCUGCCGUGGCUGUACAUUUACUGAGCAACACGGGAUGAAACGGUCUGGCCUUGCCAGGCUUCUGAGGCCUCAGUGCCAGCUCUUUGGUGUCUUGCGCCUGCCACCGUGAAACCUUGUCCAGUGGGGCACAUGGAACUGCGUUCCUGUGCUUUUAGGGUUGAGGAGGGGACUGUUGGUCACCUCCUUAACUGCCCUCCUGGUAGGGAUCUCCUGUCGGUUCCCUAGGGUAACACACCCUUCCUCCCUGAGCCUCAUUGUGUGUCCAAGCAAGAGGGCUGGGCCAAGCACAAGUUCCCUUAGCGGGCCAGAGUGAGUAUGUCUGCCUCUGAGAUGUGGGGGCUUCUUAAUGGCUCUGUUUCCGCUUGGAAUGUUUUCUGAUUUGGGAAAGGGCAGGCAGUUCUUGCUCAGGAAUGAAAAUACUGGCCCAGAGUUUAGGGACCAUUGUAAACCCUUAGACUGUAGUUGUCAGGUGUAUCCCCUACAAAUGAGGUUCAGCCACUUCCAGCAAACAGGUAAACAGCUCCCCUCGGUCUGGCAGCUCCAUCUUUGAUUUUGCUUUUGCCUGGUUCUAAGAAUGAACACAGUGUUUGGUUUUGGUUUGGUGCUGUGGGUGGAGCCUGGACUCGCGUUCCAGCUGUGGCUUCUGUCCAUGUGUGAGUUCCGCUAACCGGUGCACUGUGGCCGCUCCUGCCCACCUCUUCUACAGAAUGCUUUUCAGGUUUGCACUUUGUCUUUUAAGACCUCAUGCAAUGGUUUUAAAUUUUGAAACAGGCCUUUGUUUGCUGUUAGCAUGUCAUGUACACCACACUUUCUUCUGGAUCCAUUUUGACAUUCAACCCUUUAGGCUUCCAGAAGUUGCUUUGGUAUUCGGCAUCAGGUAAGGAUCUAAUUUGGUUGUUUCAAGGUGGCUGAUUUCCUCAGUGCCAUGAAUUAUUAACUAAAUAAUGAGUUUCUUUGGUCUAGUUGACUGCAACUGCCUUUCCUAUUCCUGCUACCCAGAGAACGGUGCUGAUGCUGCAGUGUGCAGUGAUUCAUGUUCACACAGCUCAUUCGGUUCACAGCAGCCGACGUUUGUCACUGUGUUCAGGGUUCCCGGUUCCCGAUACCCGUGAGCAGGCCCUUCACCAGCACUCCUGCUUCAACAAUAUGAAGGUUGGUCAACGCCCCAUUGUUACCCAGAUCUCCUGGCAAACCCGGGUACACCAGGACCUCAUGGAGACAAAGCGGUUAUUAGUAAGGCAAAACCAAGGCCUCUUCGUGUAGGUUUUUAUGCAUCCGUAAACUUUGUUCUUGAAGUGAAAUGUUUUGGUGUGUGGCUGGUGUGGUUUUCUGUUAGUGACUAAUGAGGGUGACACACGGAAAGACACACAUACUCGCCGGGAAGUGUGGACGCUGGCCUCACCAGUAGGGCCAUCGGGAAGGCAAAAAAACACACCUGCUAAAAACACAGGAGGUUUGAGUGAGGUCACCAGCUCUCACCCUGGGCCUGUCUCUUGUUAUUUCAUGACCUUCCUUCUGCCACGGCUUCUCCAUCUGUGAGAACGUUGUUGUCAUCUACCUCAGAUGUGUUAGGGCUAGUGAGGUAACGCCCUGUCUGGCGCUCUUGAGGUAAGCCUGUCCUCGUGGUUUCCAGUCUUUGGUGGUUAUGCCACCCAUGGGGCUCAUCCGUCUUCCAUGCAUCUCGUCUCCUGUUUUGUUCGCAUUUAUUAUAAUAACUAAGAAGUCGUAAGCGUCGCAGUCAGGUUCCACCAAUAGCCACAUUGGCCCUGGGAGCUACAUGCCAGCCCCCACCUCAUGGUGCUUUGGGAGGCCCUUGUUCUGUUUGGUGCACAGGAUUAGUGGCUUGAUUUAUUUAUAGUAUUUUGCAGUUUAAAUAUUUGUGUAUUUCAAUAUACUGUUUAUUUUUGGUGAAAUUAUGAGACUUUCUUUUAAAUUUUUUUUUGAAAAAUUGAGUUAUAACUCAAACUAUAACUCAUAAGUCCAUGACUGUGAGGUAGUAGUUCUGUGGUUGCUUUGCACAUAUUCGAUUUUGCACAGCUGUUGACCUGUUAUUUGUGUGGGUGGAGGCUCCAUCCUCACAGCCUCCUACCUAUCCUCCCUCUAGUCCCACAGCCUUUGUGCUGCCCGCCUGUGAAUCUGCCUGUCCUGGGCAUCUGGUGUAAGUGUGACGCAGCCUUUGUCUCCUCGUGCCUCUCACUUCCCAGGGCAUAGAUCUUCAAGGUCCAUCUGGACAGUGGAUGAGGGCGAUGCGUAUGAUAAAGGUUUAUUCCUCAUUGUGGAGGAAUAAUAUUCCACUGCAUUGAUUUACCACAUUUUGUUUAUCCAAGUUCCUUUGAAGGUUUGGAGUGUUUCUGCUUAUUGCCUGAUGUAAACAAUGCUGCUAUGAACAUUUUUGUGUUCAAGUCUUUAUGUGAAAUGUAGGAGGAGAUACUUCCGGAUGAUGCAGUAGCUUGGUACUUAAUUGUUCUGAGGAGCUGCAACUGUUUCCAUGUCAUUACUAAUGUCUAAGGUCCCAGCUCUUGUGCCCUCACCAGCCCUGGUUAUUGGCUGACUCUCUAGCCAUCCUGCUGGAGUUAAAGAGGCAGCACAGGUGAGGGCAAGCGCCCUUUGAUGCACUGUCAGCAGGGUCGUGUCUGCCUUGAGGCCCUGCCCUUGCUGGUCCUUUGUUUCUCAAGUAGGUUCCUGUGUGUGUGUGUGUGUGUGUGUGUGUGUGUGUGUGUGUUUUACUGGGUAUUAAACACAGGACCUCUUUUGUGUUUUGUUUUAAAAGUGUGGGCCACUACAGCUACCACCACCACCUGGCUGAACCCAGGGUCUUUUGUAUGCCAGGCAGUCAUUCUGCUAAUGAGCCACAUCCCCAGGUAGUGACUUUUAACAUAGUUUAUAUUGUGUGUAUAGAUAUAUGUGGGCAGAGGACAGCUUAUGGGGGCCAGUUUUCGUCCUCCACCACAUGGGUCCAGGGACCAAAUUCAAGCAGUCAAGCUUUGAUGGCAAGCGCAUUUACCUACUGAGCCAUGUUAUAGCCCAAAUCUACGUUCUACAAGUUGUUUGGGGGCGAGGAAUGUAGUUCACGUAGUAGAGAGUUUGCCUGAGGCUUUCUCUCCAGUACUGCAGGAAUUCAAAAGUGACCUGACUGUAGAGGAAGCAGACAGCUGGCUCGCUCUUUUUCCUGCUGCCGUGUCCCAGAAACCACAGGUCCUAGCAGAGGGAAGGCAGCCCCUGUGUCCUGGCAAGGUGAGCCAACACUGCCGCCUCCUGUGCCGUGUGACGAUGUGGUCCCGGGAAGACAUCCACUUGUUUACUUAAUUGAUGGAAAACUCUUAAUUUUUAAAAAUCAUGAUGUUGAAUUUAUUUAUUCAACCUUUAUUGUACUUUUUUAGGAAGUUAAGAACAGCUUUAUUGAGGAAAAUAAGAUAAUUGUAUGCCCUCAUGAUGAGCUUCUGGGCUGUAGAAGGAUCAAGCCCUUGAUGUGCUGAAAGACUUGGACUCCACUUGUGUGCCCCUUACUCUUUCUUCAGACCUCACUUCUAGAGUUGAGCAAAGAUGCUUAAUUUCCCUCUAAUCACCUGGGCUGCACGUGAGACCCUGGAUCCCUGAAUCAAGUGUGUUAGUCAUAACCCUCUGAAUGCUGAAGGACUUCUGUAGCCUGCAGGGCCCUUACCACUGAGCUGUAUGAUCCAUCACCAGGGCGCCACGCUCACUCAGGGAGGUGGGGAGUGCCUGUGAGAUGCUGGAGGACUGUAGCUGCAGCUGUGGGAUGUCUGCAAAUGGCAAAUUCCUGAGCUUAGCCAAUGUUCCCAAAAGAGCAACUUUCCAUCCUUCCAUAUUCAAGCAUGCAUUGACCCUGCAGACAAGACCCUGAGCUUGCGUCCACUGCAUCAAAUGCUUUGUCUCUGAGCAAUAGCUGAGUUUGGGCAUAGGGCUGUAAGCACAAGGCUGUCUCUUAGGGGUAAGAGCCGCAUGGGGAUGUGGGCUGUAUGUACCAGCCAUUCUUAGCGCCACAUUAGUGGGUUUAUGAAUAGUAAUAGCUCAUCUAUGAUGGCUAAACCUAAACCAUUCCCAGGCCUACAGUUUGGUUUGUUUGAGACAGGGUCUCACUGUUCAGCCCCAGUUGAUCUGGAACUUGUAAACUAGGAAGCCCUCAAACUCAGCAAUCGACCUUCCUCUGCCGCUCAGUGCUGGAGUUAAAGGUAUGUGCAACUGUGCCCCACCAACCCCGGCUUUAUUUUGUUGACAUUGAAGGCUAUGUGGACUUCAGGACACUGCCAGGGAAAGUUGGACUCUGGGCGUCCUAGGUGUCGUUAGAGACAGUCCGGAGGUCCGGUCUGGCCCAGCCUGUAGGUCUUUCUCAGGUUGUCAGUGGUCUAGUUUUAUUUGUUUUGUUUUUAGUUUUCCGAGACAACGUUUCUCUAUAGCCUUAACUGUCCUGGAACUAGCUCUCUAGAUCAGGCUGGCCUUGAACUCACAGAGAUCCGCCUGUCUCUGCCUCCCCAGUGCUGGAAUUGAAGGAAGUGGGCCACCACUCCUCAACUAGGUUUUUUUUGUUGUUGUUUUUUAGGGCACAAAAUCUCACUGUUACCUAGUUGGUCUCAAGUGAUCUUCUUACUUUAGUCUCCAAGUAGCUAGGUCUACAGGGUGCCACUGGCCCAUCUACAUUUCUUUUUAUUUACUUUUUUGGUAUGUGUAUAUGUAUUAUAUAGGUGUUUGUAUGUAUGUCUGUGCACCACAUGCAUGCAAUAGCCCUGGAGGCCAGAAGAGGGCAUCAGAUCCCCUGAGCCUGGAGUUACAGAUGGUUGUGAACUGCCAUUCGGUGCUAGGAUUUGAACCUGGGUCCUCUGGAUGAGUGGUUAGUGUUCUUAACAGCUAAGCUACUUCUCCACCAUUGCCAUCCCCAGUCUACAUUUCUUAAAUUCUCGAAGGCAUCUUCUCAACAAUGAAGUAGGGAUAAAUACAAUGUGAAGUUGCAGAGCCCCUUGCUGGGGGCAGGGCGGGGGUGACAGUAGUGCAUCUGUGAUUCUCAGCCUUGUCUUCAUCCACAUAAGCACAGCAUGUGGUUUCAUGUGACACCAGGGUGCCUGGCCCUCCUCUGCAGGCUCAGGCUCUCUGGAAGUCACUUCUAGGUUACUGAACUACUCAAUAUUUCUAUCUCGUUGUAAGUCAGCUCAUAAAGUGUGUUUUUCAAUACAAUUGCCAUUUCAUGCAUGUAGUGCAUAUGUGUGUAUAUGUAUGUAUAUAUGCAUUGGCAUCCUCCUUAAGAAUGGCCUUUCUCCUGGUUUAAUUCCUGAUUUUUCUUUCUCUUGAAUAGACUUUGAAGACAUCCAGAUUGGCCUUUUCCAAGAAGCUUUAGAGGAAGCAAGCAGCUCUCUGGUUUUUGUUUUGUUUUGGUGCUGGGGAUGAAACCUUGUGUGUGCAGGGCUGCUCAGCACAGUCCCCAGACUCCUGAUGUGCAAAGUCACACACUUCUGUCAACAGAGAGGGAGGUGCUGGUUGUGGACUCUUGCUCUGAUUCUGCCUUUGGCUCCAGGCAAGGCCCUCAGUUGCUGACGGUGGAGCAUCUCUGAGGAGGCCUCUCAAAACCACCAGGGAGCAAGUGCUUGGGGUUUCCAGCAAAGGAAAAUAGUGAACUGUUGGCCUUGGCUUCAGAUUUCGUCGGUCCCUUUAUCAGCAUCCCUCUGCCUAGACACUGAGCAGACCUGUGAACACCAGCAAGGUGACUGGCCCUGCCCUGCCCCUCACAGGAUCAGGCCUCAGACGGAGAUGGCACAAGCCAGGAGCAAAGGCUGUGCUCUGAUGCUCCCAUUUCCGUGGGCUUGUAAGGCCCAGACUUUGAGUCAGGUUGGGACUUAAAUGACCAUGCCUAUUUCCUCUGCUGCAGUGAGUAAGUCUGUUCUUUGCCUGGUGGGGAGCUGAAGGGAGGCUGGGAGAGAAAGGGGGUACCAGCCAGAGGGUUGGGCCAUGAGGAGAUAGAGAAGGGGAUGGAGAUGGUGGGGUCUGCAAGGGCCGGCCUAUGUGGGACUCCACAAACUUCAAUGUGUCUGUGUAUGUGUAGAUCUACUGUGUGUUUAUAUGUGUAUACAUGUGAACCUGUGCUGUGUAUUUGUGUGUGCAUAUGAGCCUACUGUGUGUUUGCAGCAAGUGAACCUGUGAGUUUGCAUAUGUGUGCUUGUGAACCUGUGGUGUGGGUGUGGGUGUGAAGUGGACGCGUGAGCUGAGAGGAUCCUGUUCUCAGCAUGGCCUGAGCCAGGUGCUCUGGGCAGGUUACAGCUUCGGACCCUCGGCUCUCGCCUGGACUGUCCUGAGGACAUGGGUUCCUGAGCGUCUCCACAUUUACAGAAUCUGGGCUCCCCCAUGACACGAAGAAGACUACAGGACUUACAGGGGUGCUUUGUUCACCUUGUGGCUUUGGGACCUUAGUAACUCCCUCCCUCACUGGAACCUGGACAGCAUGUUAGAGAUCACAGGAAAGCUGGCGGGGACACUGCUUCCAACUUGACUUCAUUUCCAAACCACGACAGUAUCCUGGAAGGACUCCCGCUGGUGACCACAGUCUCAGAGAAUGGGAGGCUGAUGGGCUUGUCUGUAUGACUUAGGUGGCUGGGACCCAGCAAACCUGGAGGGCCUGCUUCACUCAGCUAACCAAGUGUUGAAGCCGCCUUAGUUCUUAGAUCUGUUUAAUUGUGAGUUAUUGGCAUAAAGUAGGAAGCGUGGAAAGUAUAAAACGAAGGUAAGAUUCCUGUUUCCUCUCCUACCCGGCCCCACCACACAGAGGCAGCCCUCAGGUGGCAUAGAAUCUUUCUGGAAAUGUCUACUCCUGCAAAACACAGCUCCUGCUAUCUCAGGGCAAACAGGCUCAACUUCCGGGUCUGAUUUCAUGCUCUUCUCAUGUGGGUGAGAAACAUGCAUGGGAAGGCAGGGGGACUGGAGUCCCCUGGAGCCUUUAGCGGGUGUCAGGGCAGGUAGGAGUGAUCCUGGGAGGGCCUGGAGCCGCCGCAGGUGUUUCUUUUCCUGACCGCGGCUCAUGGCCGCGCUCAGGUUUUGCUUUUCACCUUUGUCUGUGAGAACGUGAGCAGAAAAAAGCAAAA